UUCAUAUAUAUGUUUUGAUGUAUACCUUUUUUCAUAUAGAUUGUACACUUUCUUAUACAUUAGAGACAUACAUGUUUAACAUUUUUCCAAUGCGCGAUGAAACAUUUUUCCAUUCUGUAUGUAAAGUUAUUUUUGUAAUAGAUAUAUUCAGAACAUUUGGAAAUAUAAGAAAAAUGUUUAAAAAACAAAGCAAAAAUGUAAAAUGUAAAAUGUCCCCGCUAGGCCGGCCAUUCUGGCGGCUGAUUUGACGCGAGGCUACGCUACUCUUGCGCCCGUAUCUCCCGCCCCCCAUCAAUCAAGAAUCCGAAAUAGCCCUCCAUAUCGCUCCACUCUCCAUUCUCCUUCCGUCCAUGCAGUAAACCCUAGAUCCAUCAGAUCGUGGGCGACUACCGACUAGGGAUUAACGGUCUCAAUGAGGUCCGUCACCAAAGAAGAAGCCGAGAGAAUAUACAUGACCGCUUGGAUCGAUAUUCGUGGAAAUUCGGAUGAAAUUCGCAGGAUACUGCCGAGACAGAUUGUCCUGUACCCAGAUAUCUUCGAGCGAGUGUGGGGUUGGGAUCGGCUACUGCCACAAGACAUCGAUUGCUCGGACUUUAUUUUUGAUUACCUCAAGGAGUAUCUGAGGCGCAAUCGAAUGGACCACGUCGCCGCUGCCGACGGCAAGCCUGAGGAGUGGCCGCCGCUGAAAGCCCCACCACCGGUGGAGGAUGUUCCCAAAUGCUCCCCGGACGGGAAGAAAGCCCUCACUGUUGCUGCCAGAUUCUGUCUGAAGAUGGAGCGGCAGUUCAUGAAGGUGUGGAAGAAUCGACCCAUACACAAUGUGGAACUCCUGAGCGAAAAGAUCCAGGAGCGCGCCAGUCGCCUCAUCCUUGUAGGGUGAGAAUUCUCUGAACCUGCCGCCGCCAACUUGGUGUGUAUCGCUAACGAGGCCGCUUUGGCUUGUGAGCUGCUCAAACGCGGGGCUAAAGCCAAUGACAAGGAGAUCAACUUAUGCAACUGCAUCCGCCAUUGCGCGCUGAGUCUUAUGUACAUUACAGGGCCGCAUUCAGAUGCCGCCGCUGCUGCAAUGGUGGGCGUUGCCAAGGAGGCCAGGAAGAUUCGUGAGUGGCUGAGGAAUGUGAACGAAUGUUAUCGCUUCAGAUCCUACUCUCGAAGAUACGAGAUUUGUCUUUGCGAUGACAUCCGCGUUGCCACCUUUGAUCUUCUGAAGUAUAUACUGUUGAAUUCUACAGGGCAUAUAUGGAACAAAGAACCGUUUGUGCUUAUGGAUUUUGCAAUAAAGAGGAACAAGAGUAAGAGACAAACGACCAUGGCAGGAACUUCAGAUAAAUAUUUAUGACAGUGUCCAGCCACAACUGAGGACAUGGAUUGGUGUGGCACAGUUCAUACUGGAAAUAUCCUUUGCAUUCACAAGCUGUCAGCCAAGAGGAUGGUUGCAUUUGAAGGCCAGAACACCGGCAGGAGAUUCUUUGGCUGCGCUAAGCGGGAAGGGAACAUGUCGUGGAAUUAUCACGGCAGAUGUCCUUAGUGUGAGGACUUAGUCG